rnacentral:rRNA from 1 species
UUCCGGUUGAUCCUGCCGGACCUGACUGCUAUCGGAUUGAUACUAAGCCAUGCGAGUCAUUGUAGCAAUACAAGGCAGACGGCUCAGUAACGCGUAGUCAACCUAACCUAUGGACGGGAAUAACCUCGGGAAACUGAGAAUAAUACCCGAUAGAACACUAUACCUGGAAUGGUUUGUGUUCCAAAUGAUUUAUCGCCGUAGGAUGGGACUGCGGCCUAUCAGUUUGUUGGUGAGGUAAUGGCCCACCAAGACUAUUACAGGUACGGGCUCUGAGAGGAGUAGCCCGGAGAUGGGUACUGAGACACGGACCCAGGCCCUAUGGGGCGCAGCAGGCGAGAAAACUUUGCAAUGUGCGAAAGCACGACAAGGUUAAUCCGAGUGAUUUGUGCUAAACGAAUCUUUUGUUAGUCCUAGAAACACUAACGAAUAAGGGGUGGGCAAGUUCUGGUGUCAGCCGCCGCGGUAAAACCAGCACCUCAAGUGGUCAGGAUGAUUAUUGGGCCUAAAGCAUCCGUAGCCGGCUCUGUAAGUUUUCGGUUAAAUCUGUACGCUCAACGUACAGGCUGCCGGGAAUACUGCAGAGCUAGGGAGUGGGAGAGGUAGACGGUACUCGGUAGGAAGGGGUAAAAUCCUUUGAUCUAUUGAUGACCACCUGUGGCGAAGGCGGUCUACCAGAACACGUCCGACGGUGAGGGAUGAAAGCUGGGGGAGCAAACCGGAUUAGAUACCCGGGUAGUCCCAGCUGUAAACUAUGCAAACUCAGUGAUGCAUUGACUUGUGGUCAAUGCAGUGCUGCAGGGAAGCCGUUAAGUUUGCCGCCUGGGAAGUACGUACGCAAGUAUGAAACUUAAAGGAAUUGGCGGGGGAGCACCACAAGGGGUGAAGCCUGCGGUUCAAUUGGAUUCAACGCCGGGAA